rnacentral:misc_RNA from 1 species
AAGGCGGUCCCAUCACUGGAUGG